UUCUAGCGAGCCCACCUCCCACCCGUGUUUACUGUACCUUAGUUGCUUCGGCGGGCCCGCCAUUCAUGGCCGCCGGGGGCUCUCAGCCCCGGGCCCGCGCCCGCCGGAGACACCACGAACUCUGUCUGAUCUAGUGAAGUCUGAGUUGAUUGUAUCGCAAUCAGUUAAAACUUUCAACAAUGGAUCUCUUGGUUCCGGCAUCGAUGAAGAACGCAGCGAAAUGCGAUAACUAGUGUGAAUUGCAGAAUUCCGUGAAUCAUCGAGUCUUUGAACGCACAUUGCGCCCCCUGGUAUUCCGGGGGGCAUGCCUGUCCGAGCGUCAUUGCUGCCCAUCAAGCACGGCUUGUGUGUUGGGUCGUCGUCCCCUCUCCGGGGGGGACGGGCCCCAAAGGCAGCGGCGGCACCGCGUCCGAUCCUCGAGCGUAUGGGGCUUUGUCACCCGCUCUGUAGGCCCGGCCGGCGCUUGCCGAACGCAAAUCAAUCUUUUUCCAGGUUGACCUCGGAUCAGGUAGGGAUACCCGCUGAACUUAAGCAUAUCAAUAAGCGGAG
rnacentral:rRNA from 1 species